rnacentral:rRNA from 1 species
CAGCUGAACAGGUCCGUCGGGAAAUCUGCUCGCUCAACGAGCAGGCGUCCGGCGGAAACCAGUCAGCUUGGGAUCGGAAGACCCGAGGGGUACGUCUGGGGUAGGAGUGAAAUCCCGUAAUCCUGGACGGACCACCGGUGGCGAAAGCGCCUCGGGAAGACGAAUCCGACGGUGAGGGACGAAAGCUAGGGUCACGAACCGGAUUAGAUACCCGGGUAGUCCUAGCCGUAAACGAUGCUCACUAGGUGUGGCACUGGCUACGAGCCAGUGCUGUGCCGUAGGGAAGCCGUGAAGUGAGCCGCCUGGGAA